UACGUAGGGGGCAAGCGUUAUCCGGAUUUACUGGGUGUAAAGGGAGCGUAGACGGCCAGACAAGUCAGAAGUGAAAGCCCAGGGCUCAACCCUGGGACUGCCUUUGAAACUGCCGGGCUGGAGUGCAGGAGAGGUAAGCGGAAUUCCUAGUGUAGCGGUGAAAUGCGUAGAUAUUAGGAGGAACACCAGUGGCGAAGGCGGCUUACUGGACUGUAACUGACGUUGAGGCUCGAAAGCGUGGGGAGCAAACAGG
rnacentral:rRNA from 1 species